rnacentral:rRNA from 1 species
GAAACCGUGUACGUACAAGCAGUGGGAGCACCCUUCGGGGUGUGACUGCGUACCUUUUGUAUAAUGGGUCAGCGACUUAUAUUCUGUAGCAAGGUUAACCGUAUAGGGGAGCCGGAGGGAAACCGAGUCUUAAUUGGGCGUUAAGUUGCAGGGUAUAGACCCGAAACCCGGUGAUCUAGCCAUGGGCAGGUUGAAGGUUGGGUAACACUAACUGGAGGACCGAACCGACUAAUGUUGAAAAAUUAGCGGAUGACCUGUGGCUGGGGGUGAAAGGCCAAUCAAACCGGGAGAUAGCUGGUUCUCCCCGAAAGCUAUUUAGGUAGCGCCUCGUGAAUUCAUCUCCGGGGGUAGAGCACUGUUUCGGCUAGGGGGCCAUCCCGGCUUACCAACCCGAUGCAAACUGCGAAUACCGGAGAAUGUUAUCACGGGAGACACACGGCGGGUGCUAACGUCCGUCGUGAAGAGGGAAACAACCCAGACCGCCAGCUAAGGUCCCAAAGUCAUGGUUAAGUGGGAAACGAUGUGGGAAGGCCCAGACAGCCAGGAUGUUGGCUUAGAAGCAGCCAUCAUUUAAAGAAAGCGUAAUAGCUCACUGGUCGAGUCGGCCUGCGCGGAAGAUGUAACGGGGCUAAACCAUGCACCGAAGCUGCGGCAGCGAACGUAUCACCCAAGACAACUUUACGGAGUUGACGAUUGACGGAGCGAAGCGACGUCAAAGCGUUCAUUAAAGUCGAGUUGGCUUAGGGAUACGUUCGUUGGGUAGGGGAGCGUUCUGUAAGCCUGUGAAGGUGUGUCGUGAGGCAUGCUGGAGGUAUCAGAAGUGCGAAUGCUGACAUAAGUAACGAUAAAGCGGGUGAAAAGCCCGCUCGCCGGAAGACCAAGGGUUCCUGUCCAACGUUAAUCGGGGCAGGGUGAGUCGACCCCUAAGGCGAGGCCGAAAGGCGUAGUCGAUGGGAAACGGGUUAAUAUUCCCGUACUUGGUGUUACUGCGAAGGGGGGACGGAGAAGGCUAUGUUGGCCGGGCGACGGUUGUCCCGGUUUAAGCGUGUAGGUGUGUGUUCCAGGUAAAUCCGGUUCACUUUAACACUGAGGCGUGACGACGAGGCACUACGGUGCUGAAGCAACAAAUGCCCUGCUUCCAGGAAAAGCCUCUAAGCAUCAGGUAACACGAAAUCGUACCCCAAACCGACACAGGUGGUCAGGUAGAGAAUACCAAGGCGCUUGAGAGAACUCGGGUGAAGGAACUAGGCAAAAUGGUGCCGUAACUUCGGGAGAAGGCACGCUGACACGUAGGUGAAGUGAUUUACUCAUGGAGCUGAAGUCAGUCGAAGAUACCAGCUGGCUGCAACUGUUUAUUAAAAACACAGCACUGUGCAAACACGAAAGUGGACGUAUACGGUGUGACGCCUGCCCGGUGCCGGAAGGUUAAUUGAUGGGGUCAGCGUAAGCGAAGCUCCUGAUCGAAGCCCCGGUAAACGGCGGCCGUAACUAUAACGGUCCUAAGGUAGCGAAAUUCCUUGUCGGGUAAGUUCCGACCUGCACGAAUGGCGUAAUGAUGGCCAGGCUGUCUCCACCCGAGACUCAGUGAAAUUGAACUCGCUGUGAAGAUGCAGUGUACCCGCGGCAAGACGGAAAGACCCCGUGAACCUUUACUAUAGCUUGACACUGAACAUUGAGCCUUGAUGUGUAGGAUAGGUGGGAGGCUUUGAAGUGUGGACGCCAGUCUGCAUGGAGCCGACCUUGAAAUACCACCCUUUAAUGUUUGAUGUUCUAACGUGGACCCGUAAUCCGGGUUGCGGACAGUGUCUGGUGGGUAGUUUGACUGGGGCGGUCUCCUCCUAAAGAGUAACGGAGGAGCACGAAGGUUGGCUAAUCCUGGUCGGACAUCAGGAGGUUAGUGCAAUGGCAUAAGCCAGCUUGACUGCGAGCGUGACGGCGCGAGCAGGUGCGAAAGCAGGUCAUAGUGAUCCGGUGGUUCUGAAUGGAAGGGCCAUCGCUCAACGGAUAAAAGGUACUCCGGGGAUAACAGGCUGAUACCGCCCAAGAGUUCAUAUCGACGGCGGUGUUUGGCACCUCGAUGUCGGCUCAUCACAUCCUGGGGCUGAAGUAGGUCCCAAGGGUAUGGCUGUUCGCCAUUUAAAGUGGUACGCGAGCUGGGUUUAGAACGUCGUGAGACAGUUCGGUCCCUAUCUGCCGUGGGCGCUGGAGAACUGAGGGGGGCUGCUCCUAGUACGAGAGGACCGGAGUGGACGCAUCACUGGUGUUCGGGUUGUCAUGCCAAUGGCACUGCCCGGUAGCUAAAUGCGGAAGAGAUAAGUGCUGAAAGCAUCUAAGCACGAAACUUGCCCCGAGAUGAGUUCUCCCUGAGACUUAGAGUCUCCUGAAGGAACGUUGAAGACGACGACGUUGAUAGGCCGGGUGUGUAAGCGCAGCGAUGCGUUGAGCUAACCGGUACUAAUGAACCGUGAGGCUUAACCUUACA